rnacentral:tRNA from 2 species
GCCCACCUAGCUCAGUCGGUAGAGCACACCCUUGGUAAGGGUGAGGUCGCCGGUUCGAUUCCGGCGGUGGGCACCA